UCCUGUCUUAGGGUUGCCAUUCCUGUGU
rnacentral:piRNA from 1 species